UUACAGUACAACACUAAUUUACAUCACCUUUUUACAGUUCUUAAAAUGUCAAUUAGAGUAAAUAAAAAUUUUGAUACCAGUCUCACCAACUCCGGUGAAGUGAUGUACCAAACAUAUGAAAGCACUAUUAAAUCAGCAAUUGAAGACAGUUACAAAUCUCUGUCUGUCUACAUUAAAAAUUCUGUAAAAAUCACAGAUUUCAGGCCUGGUAGCAUUAUAGCAGACUAUCAAAUCAGUGUAACAACCAACAUCCACAGUAGCACAAAUGGCGGCAACAGCAACGAUUUUGCAUCAGCAAAUUUACAGGUUUCAAGAACUCUCCUGAAUGCGGGAAUCCCUGUAGCUCUGAAGGCUUUUUCUGAAAGUGAAAAUACUACCCUGUCCACCGCAAAAAAAUGGUAUCCUUUUCAAAAGAUGGAGCUGAGAUGUAAAUACCCAGAGUCUGUUAAUGGUACAAUGAGAUGGACAGUGAAUGACCAAGAUCCUACAGACACUGUUAGAUACUCCAUUUCACCUGACCAUAGUAUUUUCAUUGUAAACAACGCAACAGAGAAAGACACUGAUCAGGAUGGCUAA
rnacentral:lncRNA from 12 species